rnacentral:tRNA from 1 species
GCCCCGCUCAAGGAGAGCCCCUCAAGCGGGUGUCGCAGGUUCGAAUCCUGCCGGGGGCA